UUGCACCAGAUUGUUGGUGGCUGCACUUAUGCCAUAUGAUAAGCAUGUAGUAUUUUUUUCAGAUUUACAGGCAAACAAUUGUUAAUGACUAACUGGAUUUAUUGAAAUUUUUGUUAUGAUUUUCUGUAUUCAGAUACUGUGCAAAACACUUCACAUAUUGUCAGUCCCAUUUGUAAGUCUUGGAACAGGAAGCUUGAAGUUCCUGCUUUAAAUAAAACUGGCCAUGUACACCUUGUUUAAGUCAUAAUUGUGUUAGGCUUUUCUUUAUGUUGUUGACUACAAGUAAAAACAAACAAUACUUAUGACAAGUAACAGUUUAUUUGGAAACAAAAUAAGAAAUUUGCAGAUUAAAGAGUGUGUUCUUGGAAAGACCUAUAUAGAAGCUCUUAAAAUUAGGCUGACAAGAGAGGGCUUCCAGAGGCGUGACUGUAGAUUAACAGCAGACUCAUUUUAUUUUCCCAGCUCAACUAGAAAAAGCAGUGAAAAUCCAAAAAAUAUGACCAGGAUUUCUUCAAACGCUCACCAAGCCACAGGUUGACAAAUCCAUACACAUUCUUUGAAGAAUCCUAUCUCAGCCCGUCAAUUUUAGUGGAGGUGAAAACAAGCAAAUGUAAAACAUGUGGAUUUCUGAAUAUUGUCAGUUUGCACAGGACCCUCCUCCUGAUAGCCCAGUAUUCUACUGUAUCCAGAGAAUCCACAAUCUCCUUGUUGGUACUCAUGCCAGCUACUGUUUGCAAAUUGCCAUCUUGGCUCCGCCCCUCAGAAUAAUGGCUUGAAAGACCUAUUAUACACAUCCUUCUAAAGAAAUGUUGUGAUACAAAAGGCAGAUAUUUAUAUGAUGCUUCCAACAGCUCCUUCUAUGAAAGCACUUUUGAAGCAGAUUUGUUCAAAGGCGUGUUCCACGAAUAUAUCUUUCCCCCAAGUGUGUUGAAACCUGCUGACAAAAUAUAUGUCACCUCAUACCUUUAUGGAAAAAUGGGCCAAAUGUAUGAAUAGGUAUUUUUGUUUCCUUUAGAUAAAUUCCCAGGAGAGAGAUUGCUGAAUCCUAGUGUUCUGAGAAAUAUCCAUACUGUUUCCACAAAGACUGGACCUAUUUACAUCCUAACCAGAAGCAUGUACAUAAAAUAUAGUUAACAAACAGAUGGAGGUCGAAAUUGAAUUGCUGCUGACUGUUGUCCCUUGUUAUGGCCUGUGGAUAUAUGACAAUUGAGGAAGAACUUAGAGGAAUGCCAAGUAGCAGAGCAUGAAGUAGUGGGUGUGAUCCACUGACUUGAACAUUUUAUGGCUGAUAGCAUUUGGCAAGAAAAUACUACAGCCUCCAUAGUAGUCUUAUAAAUAGAUCUCAACACCAACCAUGCCCAAACCUCUUAAUAUUUGAUUUGCCAUGAACUAUAUGAAUUUACCAUAAUGGAUUCUUGUAAUAUUCACCUACCUCACUGGUUCCCUCACACAGUGCCCGCAGAGCAAAAUAAAUCACACUUGAAAAAAAAAGUCAUUGUUUCACUGCCCAUUUGCAUUUGGUACACAGAAAGUAGAGGCAAGUUAAACAACCUUUAUAUACUCUAUUUUUCUUUUAAUUUCUUAUUGAGUUAUCUAUCUUUUCAUUUUGUCUGUCUGUUUGCCCAUGUUUUUUUUUUUUCCUUACUAAGGUGUUCUUGUAUAAUCUUGUAGAGAUGACCAACCGAUGAGGAUUACACAUAUAGUUUAUUUGUAUGUGUCACUGUUUGUGUUUUCCAUGAGCUUUCACAAGAUUCUUCAGAGGGGUUUAGGACUUCAAAAAGCUUAUGAAUUCCUGAUUCAGAUCUUUGGUUUAAUGGAGCAGUGAAACUUUGUAUAUUUGUUUUAAUGACUGAGACAUAGCAUUUUAUGUGAAUGAGAACAAGGGAAUAGUGGAGAAGAACA